UACGAAGGGUGCAAGCGUUACUCGGAAUUACUGGGCGUAAAGCGUGCGUAGACGGCUAUCUAAGUCGGGUGUGAAAGCCCCGGGCUCAACCUGGGAAUUGCAUUCGAGACUGAAUAGCUAGGGUACGGUAGAGGGAAGCGGAAUUUCCGGUGUAGCGGUGAAAUGCGUAGAUAUCGGGAGGAACACCAGUGGCGAAGGCGACUACCUGGCCUGUUCUUGACGCUGAGGCGCGAAAGCUAGGGGAGCAAACGGG
rnacentral:rRNA from 1 species